GGAGACCUUGGUAGGGCUGACAAAACCCGGUGCAAGGAAGGGCAAAGUGAGGAGCUGUGAGAGAGGACCAACAGAGACAGAAAUUACAAGAUGACACCAAAGAGUGAAUGAAAGCCUGAAGGCUGUUAAACUGGAGCAUAAACCUCAGCAUACGAAGCUGCCUGGAGUUCUCUUAUUUCCACUUAGACUGAAACCAGAGCAAGACCACUUCUGCUGCACUCUUCAACUUCCAGAUCCCACAUCAUAGUAAAAUCCAAAACAGAGAGCUGGAGAGAGAGAGAAACCCAGCCACACAAUCCUGCACCUGAGAAUGAAUACACGGAAGGCAAGUCACAAAUGUUAUUCUAUCUAAUCAAAUUGCUUCAAUCUCACUUGUAGCCACACACUUUCUGCACCCAGCACCGUAGAGCCAUGCUUUAGAAAAAGUAAGUCAAGCCAUCUUUGAAUGGUUUUCCAUCCCUCAGUCUUCCCUUUUCUUGCCAAACCUGAGCGCAGACUUUCGGACAGGGAAGCUAAAAUGCAGUGCUGCCUAGCAACAGCCAGGGACUUUCCACAGCAGCCUCUCCUCAUCCUCCCUCUGGAGACCUCCACGUCACAAGCCAACCACGAGAUGCAGCAACUCAUUAACUCCUAUUUACACAGAUACAAGGCAGAACUGAAAUAACAUUCAUUUGGCUACAUGACUUGCAGUAGCCUAAAGCAGGGGAAACAGCCUAUAAGAAAGGUGACAUAUUCAAUUUAGUUACCCUGGGAUCAUUCCUAACUACUACACCAAUGUGAAAGUGCAGUUUUAUUUCCUCAAGCUGUUUUCAGGGAGUUAUGACAAUGAGCAGAGCAGAGAAUUGUCAAAGGUCACAGAGGAUAUUAGUAGCAGAGCUGAGAAUAAAAGCAGAGGGUAUGGUUUCCAAAACUUUCUUCCACCUGCAGAAAAUGAAAUGGAAGAAGAAGAGGCAGUGUCCCUAUUUCAAUUAAAAAGUCUUUCCUGCUGGUCUCUGACAGAACUGCUAGCAUCAGAGCUGAAAAAUACAGCUUGGGAGCACUAUUAUUUGCAUGAAGGGAAGUUUAUUUCUCUAUCUACAGUGACUUCUACUAAAAGGAGGAAAUGACAUGACUAAGGAAAUGUUAAAGCUUUUUUGAGGACACAAGAGUUAUGCCUUGCUCUAAAAGCAAAGCUAAAUUGAAACACUUCAGGGUUAACCUUCCAGAAAGCAACAGAAUCAGUUCAGCCCAAGAACCUGCCCACCAAUCUCACCACCUGCUCAUAACCCAGAGACUCACUCAGUCCUGAGCCUGGAUUCAAAAGAAAGUUGCAGGGACUGGAAAUAACAGAAGCACAUAUUCACCAAAUGAAAUGUAAUGAACCCCUGAUCUGCCACAUGUGUGGCUUUGCCGCACAUCACUGCCACGUCAAAAUAUCCCCAUUAGAGCAGAGAUGAGCCACCAGCCCUGCUUCUCUUGGAGCACAGCUCUCCAGUCCAGCCUCGCUUCAGGAAAUAUCUCCAACUGCUUAAGCAGCAGUCCUCCAACACUAACUUGAGCAGUUCUGAACUAACCCAGAAGGAAAUGGUGAAUGCCUGCAUUUGCUUAUGCACAAAAGCUACCACAGAACUGUACUAUACAAACUGCACCACCCAGAUGACUGUAAUAUAUAUUAACAAUCAAAAUACAGGCAUUCUUAAUGCAAGAUCACUCUAGGAAUGCUGAUAUCCCCAAGAUGAAUGAAUUUAUGUCACACUGCUGCAACAGUUCAAAACUAAGUAUUUAAAACUCUGUCAAUGCACAGUUUAAAGACAAGCAUCACAACUUAAUUUUCAAAUGUUUAAGAGUUUGAACAAACUCUUAAACCAGCAUACAGUGCAAAAUACUUUACAUUGAUAGAUAUUAAUAAACACUUUUCAUCUUA